UACGGGGGGGGCAAGCGUUGUUCGGAAUUACUGGGCGGAAAGGGCUCGUAGGUGGCCAACUAAGUCAGACGUGAAAUCCCUCGGCUUAACCGGGGAACUGCGUCUGAUACUGGAUGGCUUGAGUGUGGGAGAGGGAUGCGGAAUUCCAGGUGUAGCGGUGAAAUGCGUAGAUAUCUGGAGGAACACCGGUGGCGAAGGCGGCAUCCUGGACCAUUACUGACACUGAAUAGCGAAAGCCAGGGGAGCAAACGGG
rnacentral:rRNA from 1 species